rnacentral:rRNA from 1 species
CCUACGGGAGGCAGCAGUGGGGAAUUUUCCGCAAUGGGCGAAAGCCUGACGGGGCAACGCCGCGUGAGGGAUGAAGGCCUCUGGGCUGUAAACCUCUUUUAUCAAGGAAGAAGAUCUGACGGUACUUGAUGAAUAAGCCACGGCUAAUUCCGUGCCAGCAGCCGCGGUAAUACGGGAGUGGCAAGCGUUAUCCGGAAUUAUUGGGCGUAAAGCGUCCGCAGGCGGUCUUGUAAGUCUGUCGUUAAAGCGUGGAGCUUAACUCCAUUUCGGCGGUGGAAACUACAAGACUAGAGUGUGGUAGGGGCAGAGGGAAUUCCCGGUGUAGCGGUGAAAUGCGUAGAUAUCGGGAAGAACACCAGUGGCGAAGGCGCUCUGCUGGGCCAUAACUGACGCUCAUGGACGAAAGCUAGGGGAGCGAAAGGGAUUAGAUACCCCUGUAGUCCUAGCCGUAAACGAUGAACACUAGGUGUCGGGGGAAUCGACCCCCUCGGUGUCGUAGCUAACGCGUUAAGUGUUCCGCCUGGGGAGUACGCACGCAAGUGUGAAACUCAAAGGAAUUGACGG